rnacentral:rRNA from 1 species
UACGAAGGGGGCGAGCGUUGCUCGGAUUUACUGGGCGUAAAGGGCGCGCAGGCGGCUCAUUUUGUCAGGCGUGAAAGCCCCGGGCUUAACCUGGGAGGUGCGUUUGAUACGGAUGGGCUAGAGUUCGGGAGAGGAGAGUGGAAUUCCCAGUGUAGAGGUGAAAUUCGUAGAUAUUGGGAAGAACACCGGUGGCGAAGGCGGCUCUCUGGACCGAGACUGACGCUGAGGCGCGAAAGCGUGGGGGGCAAACAGG